UGACCUCGGAUCAGACGUGAUUACCCGCUGAAUUUAAGCAUAUUAUUAAGCGGAGGAAAAGAAACUAACAAGGAUUCCCCUAGUAACGGCGAGUGAACGGGGAAGAGCCAACACCGAAUCCCUUGGCGCAAGUCAACGGGAAAUGUGGUGUUAAGGUAGCCCUUCGUGUCAGUCUAGGCGUCUCAAGUCCACCUGAUUGUGGCUCAAGCCCAGAGAGGGUGUAAGGCCCGUAGAGACGCUCCGACUGAUUUCCUGGGGUUUACCUACGAGUCGGCUUGUUUGGGAAUGCAGGCCAAAGCGGGUGGUAAACUCCAUCCAAGGCUAAAUACUGCUGCACGAGUCCGAUAGCGGACAAGUACCGUGAGGGAAAGUUGAAAAGAACUUUGAAGAGAGAGUUCAAUAGUAACGUGAAACCGCUUAGAGGCAAACGGAUGGUGCUCAUACUGGCCUGAGGAAUUCAACUGUGACGGUGGCUGGACGAGCUGGCGUUCCGAUCUCUCUUUUGGGACGGGCGUCGGUUUGGCUAUCAGCUCCGACAUGGUGCACUUUCCUUGGUGCCUCCGCCACGACCGACGACACUGGCUACCGCGGCUGGGGUAAGGUGACAAACUGCUUCGGCAAUUUGUGUUAUAGACCCCGGCGUCGGACAUGGUUUGGCCAGGACGUCGAGCUUGCGGCGCCCGCUCCUUGUGGGCUCGCAUGUUGGCUAGCUUGGCUGCGCCGAUGCUUGCACUGGACAACCAGUACAGGUGACGGUUGUGGGUCUUGUCUCUAGUUGGCUCUGCGAGUUUUGGCGCCUAUAGUCUGUGGUGUACUUGUGGGUAGACUAUCCGACCCGUCUUGAAACACGGACCAAGGAGUCUAACAUGUGCGCGAGUCAUGGGGAUUCUACGAAACCCAAAGGCGCAGUGAAAGUAAAGGCCUGCUUCUCGUAGGCUGAGGUGGGAUCUCGUGCAUCGCGAUUGGCGAGCGCACCACCGGCCCGUCCUAUCUGUCUCUGUCAGUGGGCGGCGCAAGAGCGUACACGUUGGGACCGCGAAAGAUGGUGAACUAUGCUUGCGCAGCUCGAAGUCAGUGGAAACACUGAUGGAGGAGCGCAGCGUUUCUGACGUGCAAAUCGAUCGUCAAACGUGAGUAUAGGGGCGAAAGACUAAUCGAACCAUCUAGUAGCUGGUUCCCUCCGAAGUUUCCCUCAGGAUAGCUGGCACUCGGGAAACAGUUUUAUCGGCGUAAAGCGAAUGAUUAGAGGCAUUGGGGUCGAAACGACCUCGACCUAUUCUCAAACUUUAAAUGGGUAAGAUGCUCGUCUCGCUUAAUUGGAGGCGGGCUUCACCUCUCUAUAAACGUGAAUGUGAGUGCCCAGUGGGCCAUUUUUGGUUAAGCAGAACUGGCGCCUGUGGGAUAACCAAACGCGCGGUUAAGGGCCCAAUGCGGAACGCUCAUGAGACACCACAAAAGGUGUUGGUCGAUACUGACAGCAGGACGGUGGCCAUGGAAGUCGGGAACCCGCUAAAGGAGUGUGUAACAACUCACACUGCCGAAUCAACCAGCCCUGAAAAUGGAUGGCGCUGGAGCGUCGGGCCUAUUACCGUGCCGUUUGGGGCGAAGCAGACAAAUAAUCUGUGUGGAUGUCCCAACGAGUAGGAGGGUCGCCGUGUCGGUGAGCGCCAGAAGGUGCGGCCGUGUGAGGCCGGCUGGAGCCGCCAGGCGAGCAGAUCUUGGUGCCGUAGUAGCAAUUAACUCAAGUGAGAACCUUGAGGACUGAAGUGGAGAAGGGUUCCAUGUGAACACAGUUGAACAUGGGUCAGGGCGGUCCUAAGCGA
rfam:Macrostomum lignano uti_cns_0047586, whole genome shotgun sequence.